GUGCUCACUCCGGCAGCACAUGUACUAAAAUUGGAACGAUACAGAGAAGAUUAGCAUGGCCCCUGCACAAGGAUGACAUGCAAAUUCAUGAAGCAUUCCAUGUUUUA
rnacentral:snRNA from 1 species